CAUUAGGGUAGUUAAUUAAUAAUGUAAGAUUGUCAUUCUUUUGUUCCUUAAAAGGGCCUAAU
rnacentral:tRNA from 1 species